GUCCGGGUCCCAUGCGGCGGGAGCCUCCGAACCGGGUCAGGUCCGGAAGGAAGCAGCCCUAAGGAAUGUCUCCCGGGUGUUGUGGGCUAGCCUGGGCCGA
rnacentral:SRP_RNA from 1 species